AAACCUUUGCGCAGGCGCAGAAAGGCACAGGACUCGCUAAGUGUUCGCUACGCGGGGCUACCGGAUCGGUCGGAAAUGGCAGAGGUGGAGGAGACACUGAAGCGACUGCAGAGCCAGAAGGGAGUGCAGGGAAUCAUCGUCGUGAACACAGAAGUGUGUAGAAGUUUGUGGCCGGGCGCGGUGGCUCACGCCUGUAAUCCCAGCACUUUGGAAGGCCGAGGCGGGUGGAUCAUGAGGCAUUCCCAUCAAGAGCACCAUGGACAACCCCACCACCACCCAGUAUGCCAGCCUCAUGCACAGCUUCAUCCUGAAGGCACGGAGCACCGUGCGUGACAUCGACCCCCAGAACGAUCUCACCUUCCUUCGAAUUCGCUCCAAGAAAAAUGAAAUUAUGGUUGCACCAGAUAAAGACUAUUUCCUGAUUGUGAUUCAGAAUCCAACCGAAUAAGCCACUCUCUUGGCUCCCUGUGUCAUUCCUUAAUUUAAUGCCCCCCAAGAAUGUUAAUGUCAAUCAUGUCAGUGGACUAGCACAUGGCAGUCGCUUGGAACCCACUCACACCAAUCCAGUGACCGUGUGUGGGCUGGCGGCUCUUCUCCCCCACCAACGGAACCCCUGUGUGCACCAACCUUCCCCAGAGCUCCGGAGCGCCCUCUCCUCACUUCCAGGUUUUGGAGCAAGAGCUUGCAGGAAGCCCGCACCCAGCUUCCUUCUGACCUUCAGUUCACUUUGUCGCCCUUGGAGAAAGCUGUUUUUCUUUAACUAAAAAUAACCAAAAUGCUUA
rnacentral:lncRNA from 10 species